rnacentral:misc_RNA from 1 species
AAAUGCUUAACAUGAACGAAGAUACAUUGUGUAUCGAUAAAAGUAGCAUAACUGUUACCAGUGUGAAUUCAUUACAAAGAAGUUCACAAUAAAAUACUAUCACAAGCUGUAAUCGGAAUUAAAAUCUUUCCGAAACUAUGAUGACUGUACUGUGUAUCAUUACGAGGCGGAAUAUCCUUUAUUUUUACAAGGUCAUACUGACGGUGUAAAAUGCAGGUAGAACCAUUGGAUUUGUGCUAUUCACAGCCGAACCUAUACAGACUCUGUGAUAGAGUUAUUUGUAUCCCUUGGGAUAAAAAAUGCCUAGUGGAAACCCAAACCCGCGCAGUGACAGAGAAUUUAAGUGAAGUUAAUUCUUCUGUGGAAGAGGGGUUACCUAUUCCUGUGGUGGUUACUAUAGCGUCCGUCUGUGUGUUUGUUUGUAUCCUUAUGGCCAUUCUGCUGUAUAUCUUUAUCACGAGGAGACAGAAAAAUAACACGUCCAGGGAAUCCCAGUCAGCAAAAGAACCAUUACGAACGAGUUACAUAACCCCUGGUAUUGAAGCUGCACCUUUAUACAGCAAAUCAAACGAGAUGUCAAAAGGAAAAACUGACAGCUCUAGAAAACCUAAGCCGACGCAUUACCUGCCUGUGAACAGUGAAUGCAAUGACAAUUAUUUUCAGGUAAAUAACCAUGAACAAACAUAUGAAGGAAAUUACCUUAAAACUGAUGAUUCUGGAAAUUCCCAUGACAAUUGUAGAAGAAACUUGGCCAUUAAUCCUGGUGUAGAAAUAUAUAGCAAUGAAUCAAGGGUACAUGGUUUAGGGAAAUACACAUUUAAGCCAAGAUUAAAGUAUAUGAACAGCAAACCUUACAAUGAAAUGGAGGAGAAAGACAGAGAUAAAUUGUAUGUGAUAAAUAGUUAUAAACAUUGCUCUGGAAAAAGUGUUUUGCCAUCGACCUUGACCUUUGACAAGGAUCCUGAGAAGUUUUCAAACAAGUUUGCUACAGAUCUAUUAUGUUCAUCUACUCCAAGACAACCAGCCAAGCAUUUUGUCCAGAAUGGUGUGGCAGGGUCUCUGGAGAGUAUAACAGCUCAAAGUGAUAUUGCAAUUACAUAGUUUCUGUCAUGCAAACAGUUCCGAGGAUACAAGAAUUUAAGUAUUUCUAGCAUUGCAGGAAAUCAAUACAUGAUUUUUGACAUUGCAAAAUAGAUAUUGAAAUUACAUUAUUUCUAACAUUCAAAGAAAUCAAAGUGAUGUCAAAAUUACAUAAGUUUUUUGUAAAAAUGAUACUGAAAUUCAUUUUUAUGACAUUUCAUAAAUUGAAUAAAAAAAAAGAUAUUGGAAGAACCUUUUUGCAAUAUUCUAAGAGAUACUAAAAUCACAUUAUUUCUGGCACUUAAGAAAUUCAAAAUGAAAUCAAAAUUCUAUGUUUUUUUUUACAUAGCAGCAGUUCUAUAAGCUGUACUAAAAUUACAUUAUUUCUGACACUUAAGAAAUUAAACUGAUUCUGACACAACACUAUAUCUGACAUUUUGUAUGGUCUCUGACAUAUGAACACUUUAAAGUGAUACUGGAAAUACAUAAUGUCUGAUUUUUAAACUUAUCUGAAGUAUAUGCCCUUUUUAACAAUUGAAAGCAAUAAUGAAAAUUUAUGAUUACUGACAUUUUCACAGUUUAGCAUGAUAUCUGAUAUUAUAAUCACAUGAUUUUUGACAUUUUCACAGUAACUUGAUAUGAAAUUGAAAUUCAACACUUCUGACAAUUUACAAGUUUAAAGUGAUAUUUAUCAUUUAUAAUUUUGUCAUUUUAAAAGAUUUCUUAAGCAGUCACAGUUCAAAGUUAUUUCUAACUAAACUUUAUGAUAUAUCUGACCUUUAAAAAAUUCCAAAUGAUACUGAAUUAUCAUGAAAGCCGACAUUAUACAAGUCAAAGGGGUAAUGAAUGUUCAUGAUUUCUGACAUUUCAAAAGUUCAAAAAGAUAUUGAAGGUUCAUGAUUUCUUACAAUGCAAAAGUUCAAAAAGAUAUUGUCUUAAUGAAUGUUCACGAUUUCUGACAUUGCAAAAGUUCAAAAAGAUAUUGAAUGUUCAAGAUUUCUGACAUUUCAAAAGUUCAAAAAGAUAUUGAAGGUUCAUGAUUUCUUACAAUGCAAAAGUUCAAAAAGAUAUUGUCUUAAUGAAUGUUCACGAUUUCUGACAUUGCAAAAGUUCAGAAAGAUAUUGAAUUUUCAUGAUUUCUAACAUUGCAAAAGUUCAAAAAGAUAUUGAAUUUGCAUGAUUUCUAACAUUGCGAAAGUUCAAAAAGAUAUUGAAUUUGCAUGAUUUCUAACAUUGCGAAAGUUCAAAAAGAUAUUGAAUUUGCAUGAUUUCUAACAUUGCAAAAGUUCAAAAAGAUAUUGAAUUUGCAGGAUUUCUAACAUUGCGAAAGUUCAAAAAGGUCUUGAAUUUUCAUGAUUUCUAACAUUGUAAAAGUUCAAAAAGAUAUUGAAUUUUCAUGAUUUCUAACAUUGCAAAAGUUCAAAAAGUUUCAUGAUUUCUUACAUUGCAACAGUUCAAAAAGAUAUUGAAUUUUCAUGAUUUCUAAUAUUGCAAAAGUUCAAAAAGUUUCAUGAUUUCUUACAUUGUAAAAGUUCAAAAACAUAUUGAAUUUUCAUUAUUUCUAAUAUUGCAAAAGUUCAAAAAGUUUCAUGAUUUAGUUCAAAAAGAUAUUGAAUUUUCAUGAUUUCUAACAUUGCAAAAGUUCAAAAAGUUUCAUGAUUUCUUACAUUGCAACAGUUCAAAAAGAUAUUGAAUUUUCAUGAUUUCUAAUAUUGCAAAAGUUCAAAAAGUUUCAUGAUUUCUUACAUUGUAAAAGUUCAAAAACAUAUUGAAUUUUCAUUAUUUCUAAUAUUGCAAAAGUUCAAAAAGUUUCAUGAUUUAGUUCAAAAAGAUAUUGAAUUUUCAUGAUUUCUAACAUUGCAAAAGUUCAAAAAGUUUCAUGAUUUCUUACAUUGUAAAAGUUCAAAAAGAUAUUGAAUGUUCAAGAUUUCUAAUAUUGUUCUUUACAGUUCAUUUUGAUUGAUGACAUUCUGAGAAUUUAAAAAUGUGCUGCAAAUAUGUCUGUGGACUUAGAAGUGUUAUUGUGGUCUGACAUAAUAACCAACAAAAUUAGAUAUACUGGCCUUAUCUUAUAACAUUGUGAAAGUGAAACUUUCCUGCCAUUUGACACAAUUUGUGAUUUUAUAACACAAUGCAUUAAGUGCCUUGCAAAGAUUUCUAUGUGAUCAUAAAUCUGUUGUUCAAAAUGAUUUUUAUGACUGUGAAAGUACAGUAUUUUAUUACAAGUGGUUCUUCAGUUUACAAAGCAAUUUAUAAUUUAUAAGUAUGACAUGUAGCAAAACAUGCAUAGGAACUGAAAUAGAUAGAUAGAUAGAUCUUUUUGAGGUCUAUCAUAAAGGAUGGGACAGUUACUUGAUACAUUUUCUUUUUUUAUUUCAAGUCAUUUUAUUUAAUAUUUUACCUUUACCCUGCUAAAUUCCUAAAAUGGACUAGUCCAUCAUUCAAUUCAGUACCACUUAUUAUCCUGAGGGGUAUUCACUAAAAAUUUACUGACUGAAUAGCAAACAGUGCAGGCUGAUCUAGGUCUGCACUGGUUGCAAAGGCAAAAUCAGUUGCCAACAGUAGGCUAAAAGUUAAAUGCAAUUCCAUGGAAACUGCCAAUGAUUUCAGUUUUUAUUAUUACUUCACUUUCUACUCUAUUGGGUUUUGACAAAACAUUUUGCUUUUUUUGUGUUUGGUUGUUUUUGUUUUUUUUCUGGUAUUUAAAUAUUUCAAAAACGAUUUUAGCAUUUUAAAGCAAAAAAAAAAAAUGAAAAAAACUUAUAAACUUUCAUUACAAAUGCCAGUUUGUAUAAAUUAUUAUUAUCCACAAUAUUAAUAAAUAUUUUCUUCUGAUUGAGUACAGAAACAAAAUUAGUAUAAUUCCUUUCACUUGUUCUGUCUUUUUUAACUUAAAAGCAUGCUGUGAAAUUAUUGUAGGAUGUCGGAUCAAUUUUUUCUACAGUUAAGAUUUUUUCAUACUCUGUGACCUUGAGGAACAUUAGUUUCUAAGACAAAUAAGGGCAGAAAAAUGUUUAUACAAAUAUUUAAGUUCCCCUUGAUAUGUCCGAGAACAAAAUACAGAAACUGAGGCAAUUACCCUAGAUUAUUUUCAAUUCUUUCAGAAAAGUGUAUAAAGUAGUGCGUACUGGUAUAUUUAUAUAUUGUAUUUCAUGUGUGUAUAAAAUUAAUGUAAUUAUAUAACAGUGUCACUGUGUUAUUUUCAUUUUCUUUAUUUCUUUUGCAGGAAUUCAUUUUUUACUUCAAAAAGUGUUUGAUCUGGCUGUAUGUUUUAUUUUAUGAAUAUGCUUAUGAAAGAAUAAAUAUGUUCUGCAGAAAAUGGGAGUGUUGUCAUUUAACAGUUACACAAAGAAAUUUUAAUUAAAUAAUGAGUAUAGGCCUGGCAAAGUGAAAUUUAAAACAUGACAAUGAAAUUUUCAAGAGAAAGUAGAGAUUGUUUUUCAAGAAAAACAUAUUGUAUACAUAUCUCCCAAAUUGCCACAAAGUAAGGACCAUAACUCCUGCAAAAAUCGCUGAGCCGCAUCUUUUCAAAUGAUAUUCACAGCUAGAUUUGGCACUGAUCACUCCUGUGAUGUUUGGUGGAAUUCCAACUGUUGGUAUCAGAGACAGUAGAACAGAUAUAAGAAUUAAACAAAUCAAGGGUCAUAACUCCACUGAAAAUCAUGCUAAUAAUAUGCACUCCUAGAAUUGGCAAUCAUCACUUUUGUCAAUUUGGGUCUGACUGUGUCGAAAGUGUUGUGUUGAAAAACUUUGUGACAUAUAGACAG